rnacentral:rRNA from 1 species
GACGUAGGGCGCGAGCGUUGUCCGGAUUUAUUGGGCGUAAAGAGCUCGUAGGCGGCUUGUCGCGUCGUUCGUGAAAACCCACAGCUCAACUGUGGGCUUGCGGUCGAUACGGGCAGACUAGAGUGCUGUAGGGGAGACUGGAAUUCCUGGUGUAGCGGUGAAAUGCGCAGAUAUCAGGAGGAACACCGGUGGCGAAGGCGGGUCUCUGGGCCGAUACUGACGCUGAGGAGCGAAAGCGUGGGGAGCGAACAGG